GAUGAAGAACGCAGCGAAAUGCGAUAAGUAAUGUGAAUUGCAGAAUUCAGUGAAUCAUCGAAUCUUUGAACGCACCUUGCGCUCCUUGGUAUUCCGAGUAGCAUGCCUGUUUGAGUGUCAUGAAAUUCUCAACCUUUUCAGCUUUCUUUGUUGAUCAGGCUUGGAUGUGGGAGUAUGCGGGCUUCUCAGAAGUCGGCUCUCCUGAAAUGCAUUAGCGGGACCUUUGUUGCCUGGCUUUGGUGUGAUAAUUAUCUACGCCAUUGUAGUCAAGCAGCUUAAAAUGAGGUUUCAGCUUCUAACCGUCUCCCCUGAGACAACUUUUUGACAAUUUGACCUCAAAUCAGGUAGGACUACCCGCUGAACUUAAGCAUAUCAAUAAGCGGAGGA
rnacentral:misc_RNA from 1 species